rnacentral:rRNA from 1 species
GACGAACCGAGCGAACGUUGUUCGGAAUCACUGGGCUUAAAGGGCGCGUAGGCGGCUUGCCAAGUCAGGGGUGAAAUUUUGCGGCUUAACCGUAACAGUGCCUCUGAUACUGGCAGGCUAGAGGGAAAUAGGGGUCCGCGGAACUUCUGGUGGAGCGGUGAAAUGCGUUGAUAUCAGAAGGAACGCCGGUGGCGAAAGCGGCGGACUGGAUUUUUUCUGACGCUGAGGCGCGAAAGCUAGGGGAGCAAACGGG